ACCCGCUGNANCUUAAGCAUAUCAAUAAGCGGAGGAAAAGAAACCAACUGGGAUUGCCUUAGUAACGGCGAGUGAAGCGGCAAUAGCUCAAAUUUGAAAGCUGGCGCNUUCGGCGUCCGCGUUGUAAUUUGUAGAGGAUGCUUCGGCGAGGACUCCUGCCUAAGUUCCCUGGAAUGGGACGUCACAGAGGGUGAGAAUCCCGUAUGUGGCGGGCGGUCCAAGCCAUGUGAAGCUCCUUCGACGAGUCGAGUUGUUUGGGAAUGCAGCUCUAAAUGGGAGGUAAAUUUCUUCUAAAGCUAAAUACCGGCCAGAGACCGAUAGCGCACAAGUAGAGUGAUCGAAAGAUGAAAAGCACUUUGGAAAGAGAGUUAAAAAGUACGUGAAAUUGUUGAAAGGGAAGCGCUUGCAACCAGACUCGCUCGCAGUUGCUCAGCCUGCCUCUUGGCGGGUGUACUCUUCUGUGAUCGGGCCAGCAUCAGUUCGGGCGGCCGGAUAAAGGUGUCGGGAAUGUAGCACCCUUCGGGGUGUGUUAUAGCCCGGCGCGGAAUGCGGCCAGCCUGGACUGAGGAUCUCGCUUCGGCAAGGAUGCUGGCGUAAUGGUUGUAAGCGGCCCGUCUUGAAACACGGACCAAGGAGUCUAACAUCUAUGCGAGUGUUUGGGUGUCAAACCCAUGCGCGUAAUGAAAGUGAACGGAGGUGGGAACCCGCAAGGGUGCACCAUCGACCGAUCCUGAUGUCUUCGGAUGGAUUUGAGUAAGAGCAUAGCUGUUGGGACCCGAAAGAUGGUGAACUAUGCCUGAAUAGGGUGAAGCCAGAGGAAACUCUGGUGGAGGCUCGCAGCGGUUCUGACGUGCAAAUCGAUCGUCAAAUUUGGGUAUAGGGGCGAAAGACUAAUCGAACCAUCUAGUAGCUGGUUCCUGCCGA
rnacentral:rRNA from 1 species